AUAUAUGAAUAUCGUUUGUGUUGCCCCAUCCAAAAAGAAAGCGAAAUAAUUGAGAUUUGCGAAAAAGAAAAUGAUAUACAGGAAAUGGAGUCUCCUCACCGGCCCUCCUGCCAUCGCCGGCGCCGUCGUCGGUUCCGUCGUUGUUUUCCAGCUCCUCUUCGGCAAAUCAGGCUCGUCUGUUAGAUUGCAGCAGAAGAAGGAAGAGCUGGCAUCAACCAACAAAUAGAGAUGUUAAACUAGAGACAAGGAUGCUCUCUCAUGGUUUUUGUGUUUUCUGUGUACAUCAAUAAUGGACAUAUUUUAGUUUUCAUUCAAACAAGAACUUGAGUUUAAUGGAAUACUAAUAAAUUAGUCUGAUUUCUUUUUGUUUAGUUCUGUCUGUACCAUGAGAAUUGUAGUAUUCAAUUUGUCAGCUAAUCUUGCGCACUGUGGAAGUGCAUGAUCAUCAGGAAUUCUUUAGUGCUGUUCAUUUGUGGAUGCCUGCCUUUCAUUCUCGGUAAUUUAUUUUGGUUAAUGAAUGAUGCAGUCUUAAUGCAAACUUUUUAA